UGCGGUGGCGAUAGCGUUGAGGAUCCACCUGUUCCCAUUCCGAACACAGAAGUUAAGCUCAAUUGCGCUGAAAGUACUUGGCUGGCAACGGCCCGGGAGGAUAAGGAGCUGCCGCAU
rnacentral:rRNA from 1 species